rnacentral:rRNA from 1 species
GGGCCCGCACAAGCGGUGGAGCAUGUGGUUUAAUUCGACGCAACGCGAAGAACCUUACCAGCUCUUGACAUUGCUAAGUCGCGAGUUUUAGAGAUAAAACUCUUCAGUUCGGCUGGACUUAGUACAGGUGCUGCAUGGCUGUCGUCAGCUCGUGUCGUGAGAUGUUGGUUAAGUCCCGCAACGAGCGCAACCCUUGUCCUUAGUUGCCAGCAAUUCGGUUGGGCACUCUAGGGAGACUGCCGGUGAUAAACCGGAGGAAGGCGGGGAUGACGUCAAGUCCUCAUGGCCCUUACGGGCUGGGCUACACACGUGCUACAAUGGCGUCUACAUGGGUCGCAAUAGGGCAACCUAAAG